rnacentral:rRNA from 1 species
UGGACAGAAAGACCCUAUGAAGCUUUACUGUAACUUGAAAUUGAAAUUGGACUUUAUUCGCGCAGCAUAGGUGGGAGGCGUUGAUUAUAAUCUUGCGGGAUUAUUGGAGCCAUCAGCGAGAUACCACCCUUGUAAUGUUAGAUUUCUAACUUUGAAUCAUUAUCUGGUCAAAGGACAGUUUCAGGCGGGCAGUUUGACUGGGGCGGUCGCCUCCUAAACGGUAACGGAGGCGUACAAAGGUUUCCUCUGAACGGUUAGAAAUCGUAUCUAGAGUGUAAAGGCAUAAGGAAGCUUGACUGUGAGACCUACAAGUCGAGCAGGGACGAAAGUCGGUCUUAGUGAUCUGACGGUACUGAGUGGAAAGGCCGUCACUCAACGGAUAAAAGUUACUCUAGGGAUAACAGGCU